rnacentral:rRNA from 1 species
AUGAUGGAUAGGCCAAGUUCUUCUACCAACCCACUCUUCAUCGAGCAAGACGACGACAUGUCAUCCUAUGUCACCAAGAGCCACCUCUUUGGUGCACAAAGAGCUUUGCAUCAAGAACAACAAGCAAUGAGCGACCGCAUCGACAAUCUCGCCACCGACUUGCGACUCUCCGAGCAACGAACAAGAGACUACUUCGAUAACAAGCUCGACGCACACAAACAAGAGAACGAUGCAAGAAUGGACGAGAUUCGUGCCUUGUUGGUAAACCGCUCUUCUACCACUCCGUCCUACUCAAGACGGAGCCGCUCGAGUCGACACUCCGACGACACCCUCUCCGGCUCAAGUACACCGACAUCGAACACUCUACGUCGAGCCACGCGCCAAGACCGUCAAGCAACUCGCAAUCCUCUACACGGCAAACAUCCACAAGAGCAAUUCGACGAGCAAGCACAUCGUCAUCGCCAAAACCAACCUACUCUUGCACAAGCACAAGAAAGGUAA